rnacentral:misc_RNA from 1 species
UUUUUUUUAAAAGAAAAAAGAAAUUUUAAUUCAUAAGUAAGCAAAGCAAUGUAGUUUUUGACUGAAUUGAUAGAAUUAAACUAAAUUUUUAAGUCUAUCUCAUAAUUAAACAUUAUUAAAGGCCUUGAAAUGGAAUCCCUUCCUUGUGCAUUAGCUUUGCUAGCCCUAUGGCUGUGGCAUAAUCCCCUUCUCUCUGCAAAAUUCAAAAG